CCGAAACUUCGUUGGUUUCCCAAAGCUCUCGGAUCCUCCCCUCGAUUGGAGGAACCAUCGAUUCGGCCUGGGCGCACCCAUCCAUGAGGCCCGACAUCUCAACAACCUCGGAGAGAAAAGAGAAAUCAGUGUUCUGCGACUUCCAAAGGGUACCAACCGAACCGCGGCAUUCGCGGAAAUCACCCAUGAGUCUUGAACGUCCUUGAAGCUCCUGAACUCAGCAUCAAACAAUGUAGCUCUCCUCGCAAACUCAGCAGCAAUCGUCCUCCUCCCUUUCCUCUCCGCACGAAU
rnacentral:lncRNA from 1 species